UGAAAUGUCAUUAAAUAACGGCAUUUGGUUUCAAAAUAAAAGUUUUAUUGGAGAUCAUGACAAAAUCGGACAGUAACUUGUAUCUUUUACAAGAUUUGAAUUUGUUAUACUCAGUCUAAGACAUGUAGUUUCGGAGCACAUUUUACUGAGUACGGUUUAUCUGUUUGGAAUGAGAUGUACCAAUCGGCAUUAGAUUUAUCAGAUCCCGAGGCGAUGUGUUCGACAGACAACAAGACCCAAUCAACCUGCAAACACGCCAAAACAGUAUUGGAAAGUCUCAUUAUAUUUUGCGUUCAUAGACCAUAUGAUAAUGAAACUGGAGAGUGGAGUCGCGUCUGGUAUUAUUAGAAAAUCGCUUCUUUGCGCCGUAUCUGCUUCCUUGUGUUGUUGGAAAUAUAACAAACGAAGAAAUCUCUGAGACAUACGAAACUGACCUGGCAUGUAAUUUUGACGAAUUCAAUUGGGAGGUCGCUCGAUGGCGAACACGUACGCUGAUUUAUAACACCUCGCGAGUGCUACCGUGGAGAUAUAUCAAGGUACUACGUCUGUUGGAAACUUGCAAAUGUACGAUCAACAAUGAACAACGACAGGUUAUCAUCGCUAGCAUUACUGCAUAUUCAUCGGGAAUUCAGUGUUAGUAUUGACAAAGUAAUAGAGAAG
rnacentral:lncRNA from 1 species